GUAGGUGGCAAGCGUUGUCCGGAAUUAUUGGGCGUAAAGCGCGCGCAGGCGGUUCUUUAAGUCUGAUGUGAAAGCCCACGGCUCAACCGUGGAGGGUCAUUGGAAACUGGAGAACUUGAGUACAGAAGAGGAAAGCGGAAUUCCACGUGUAGCGGUGAAAUGCGUAGAGAUGUGGAGGAACACCAGUGGCGAGGGCGGCUUUCUGGUCUGUAACUGACGCUGAGGCGCGAAAGCGUGGGGAGCAAACAGGAUUAGAUACCCUGGUAGUCCACGCCGUAAACGAUGAGUGCUAAGUGUUAGGGGGGUUUUCCGCCCCCCUUAGUGCUGCAGCUAACGCAUUAAGCACUCCGCCUGGGAGUACGGCCGCAAGGCUG
rnacentral:rRNA from 1 species